rnacentral:misc_RNA from 1 species
GGAGGUUAAAAAAUUCAAUGAAUAACAACUCUUAAGCUAGCAAAAUAGAAAAGAAGGUAGUAGCGCCAAAAUUAUUUAGAAGUGUUUUUCACAUGUAUUUUUCUGUUUUCUAGUUUGUUAGCAGCUUAGUUAAUUCAGCCUUGUUGUAUAUAUGGUUGCAUCCAUUGAGCAGUUGCGCAUUCAUUCAAUGAGAAUCUUUUCUCUUCUCUCAAACUUUCACACUAGUC